GUGCUCGCUUCGGCAGCACAUAUACUAAAAUUGGAACGAUCUAGAGAAGAUUAGCAUGACCCCUGCGCAAGGGAUGACACGCAAAUUCGUGAAGCAUUCCAUAUUUUU
rnacentral:snRNA from 1 species